GCUUGCAAGGGGACAUUUGUAUUUCACACCAUUGGCCCCGCAGGUACUCUCCAGGUACUCUCCAGGUACUCUCUAGGUACUCUCCAGGUACUCUCCAAGUACUCUCCAGUUGGUCAAAAGUCUUACCUUGGAUUGGUGGCACAAUCUUGUCCCCCCUAAACCCCCUCCCCAUUGGUCUUGCAUGUGUCCUCAGACAUGAUUCCUCGUAUAUUAGGAUUCCUCCGUCAGGAGGAAACCUAUUGUUAUUGUAGGCUUUAUUAUUCUUGUACCAUGGGAGUCAAUGGCAGCCCCUAGAACCGUAUGGUAACUUUUUCUGAAAUUUGGCACACUCAUUAAGGACAGUCCCUUCAUCACUCACACCAAGUUUCACGUCUCCCACUAGACCACGCU
ensembl:lncRNA